AAAAAGCAAACACAAAACAUAUUAAAAAAAAAAAACAAACAAAAAAAACCAAUAAAAUGGAGGCAUCAAAGAAGCUUUUUGGAAUGUUUCUCAUUUGCAUUUUUGUGAUUUCUGCAUCUGUAGACGUCUCCAUGGCUACCGAAGCAAUUAUCGAUGAAAAAUUCAGACCAACAUAUGAACAUAUUGGAAGUGAAAUGGAUUAUUGCUACAAUAAAUGUCUCACUGUAUGUGCCACCACUGACACGCCUAAAAAAAAAUGUAAUACUCAAUGUGGAGGUGAUUGCGUUCAGAGGAUUCUCCAAGUUUUUGCAGAAGAUAUUGAGAAAAUGAAACAUUAAUUUGAAGCCUCAAGAUGGACCAAAGGAUGCAAAAUAUAUCUCUUAGAGAGAAAGAAGAAUAAAACAAUGUUUUUUUCAUCUGUGACAUUGUACUUUUUAAUUUUCAAAUUUAAUAAAUUCGUUUAAUUUUCUAAUUUUUAGAUUCAAGAAAACAAUGAUAUAUAUAUAUAAUAUAUAUAGACAUGACGACGUUAUUUUGAAAA